UCCACCAAAUAAGAUUUGUUAAUAGUUAAAAAAUAUUUUGUUGGUGGUCGGUGUUGAUAGAUGGCUAUACUUAACGCGUAGUUGUAAAAAAAUAUAUAUGCAUAUACAUAACAGAAUACUCGUGUGUGCGUGCGCGUCAUGGUAGAUACGACAUACGACUCCGCGCCUUUUUUUUAUUGCGCGUCAUAACCCGCUGAAUAACUAGCUCUAUUUGCGAUUUUCAUACGAUAAGUUGCUUUUUAUUUUACACUUUGUGGAAAACAAUUAAUAAAAUGGAAGCUUUGCUACAAUCGUGGGAUUUAAGUGAGUUAUACUCGAUUUUUUUGUGUAAACCAUACAACUGACUUUGAAAUCCUUGGUGAAUUCCUUACUAAAACUCGAGAAGAGACCCAAAAAGAAAUAAUCCCUAGUGUUGGUUUACGACUUCGUUUAAAUAAAAAAUAUAAUGAAUAUAUUUCCCAUUACGAGAAGAUUAAUGUAAAGGAUGAAUUACCACCAAAUACUUGCUUGCAAUAAAAAAAAAAAUUAAUUGUAAACUUUUUUAACACUAAAACUUUUCUAAAAAUAAUAAGAGGAAUUUUUUAAAUAUUCAUAAUCCAGUGUGUAAAUACUAAUAAAUGAUUUAUUAAAUAUUAAUAAAUCAUUUUCUAUAUGUUAAUAAAUCAUUUGUUAAAUAGUAAUAAAUAUUUGGU